GCGUGAUCGAUGAAGGCCUUAGGGUUGUAAAGAUCUUUCAACGGUGACGAUAAUGACGGUAGCCGUAGAAGAAGUCCCGGCUAACUUCGUGCCAGCAGCCGCGGUAAUACGAAGGGGACUAGCGUUGUUCGGAAUUACUGGGCGUAAAGCGCGCGUAGGCGGAUCGUUAAGUCAGAGGUGAAAUCCCGGGGCUCAACCCCGGAACUGCCUUUGAUACUGGCGGUCUUGAGUAUGAGAGAGGUGAGUGGAAUUCCGAGUGGAGAGGUGAAAUUCGU
rnacentral:rRNA from 1 species